rnacentral:lncRNA from 1 species
ACCAGGACACCCAGCUUCUAACACAAGCUGUCCCUACAGACUCACCACCCAAGAACCUCCCAGUAUUCCUACAGGUCAGCCAUGUGGGCCUGAGAGGCUGGAGUGGAGUGUAUGGCAGGAAGGAGGCUCCUUUGCCUGUGCAAACAGAGGCUCAGAGAAUGCAGUCAAAAUCUUGCUGGUUGGCCUGGGUGAUACAUUAAAUAGAGUACCUUGAAACUACUCAAGGCAAUAGCUGCUGUUUCCACUCCGAAGAAAGCAAAGCCAUUGCCAAGCUCUCGGGAAAGUUUACAGCCCUUCUUGCACCUGCUCCAGGGCAGCAUUCACAUACUUCCUGAACCUCCUGUUGCGACGAUUAUGGGGAGCCGACAAGAGAAGACCACUCAGCCGUACUUUAUAACCAAAUGAAUGUCUUGAUUCCAGUUGCUGGGACGAUACUCAGUCCUAGGCUGUCAACUACAACUGAGUCUUCAUCUUCCAUGGCCUCUCACAGUGCCAAACCUCAGCUUCAAAACCUCUUCAUGACCUCUUCAGGCCUUCAAAACCAGUACCACCUGGGUGACACUUACCAGAACCAAGAACAGCUGCAGCACGAGAUAUGUCUAGGAGUCAGCUUGAACAGGAGAAGAAAUCUCUAGAUUCUUUUGUCUGGGUAAACGAGAUCACUGGAGAAACCACCUUUCCUCCAGGGGAGGAGACCACACCUGCAACCUCUGGAGAGAAGCGUCAGGCAAGGUCGGGGUCUCUGCGAGUGAGCAUGCCCUGCGCUGCGGCUGUCCACAGACCUGCUUCUCCAGUGAACCCCGAGGCUGCAGGCAGAGGCCCCGGGACAGGAAGCUUGCUUCUACCCGACCUGUCCCUGUCCCGAGCUCUGUCCCCAUCAGGGGGCGCUCUGCCGACGCAGCACCACUUGGGAGCGUCCCCUCCUCUGGCAGCGAGGCUUCCAGCCAGCCCUUCUCUGCCCUGGGCCCUGUCCUGCAAGCUAAGGAAUGUGCUGACAAGAAAUAACCGGUUUUCCUUUUGAGCUAGGAAGUGCCAAGGAAGCGGCCGCCUACCCACACCUGCAGAGCUCUAUGAAGGUCCCAUCAGCUCCACCCUCAGAAGCACAAGUUUACAGGAAUCCGCAAAAAUAUCUGCUUUCAGACCCAAUACAAACUUUUCUGAGAUUUUUUUUCAGAUUGCCUUCUACGGCUUUCUUUACCUCCUCAGCUGUCUUGACACUUUGAGGGUGAAUACCGCAGUUUUGGUGCUGGAGUCAAAUCACCUGUGGGACAGAAGCAGGCCUUGGGUGGGAUGAGAACAGGCCAGGGUGAGUGGGACCCACUCGCUGGACACUGGGCACACUUGGGAGUGGAAAGGGGCUGAAACCUGUUUUUCGGGUUAGCACUCCACAAGCUUCAGGCCUGUGCUGUUCCACGGGAUGCACAGGUCUCCAUCUGACUGAGAAGGUGGCUGAGCCAAGGGAAGCAUCUCAGAGCAGAGUGGGCAGGACCCAAGCAUGCCUGUGCAAGA